rnacentral:rRNA from 1 species
UGGGGAAUAUUGGACAAUGGGCGAAAGCCUGAUCCAGCCAUGCCGCGUGUGUGAAGAAGGUCUUCGGAUUGUAAAGCACUUUAAGUUGGGAGGAAGGGCAUUAACCUAAUACGUUAGUGUUUUGACGUUACCGACAGAAUAAGCACCGGCUACCUCUGUGCCAGCAGCCGCGGUAAUACAGAGGGUGCAAGCGUUAAUCGGAAUUACUGGGCGUAAAGCGCGCGUAGGUGGUUUGUUAAGUUGGAUGUGAAAUCCCCGGGCUCAACCUGGGAACUGCAUUCAAAACUGACUGACUAGAGUAUGGUAGAGGGUGGUGGAAUUUCCUGUGUAGCGGUGAAAUGCGUAGAUAUAGGAAGGAACACCAGUGGCGAAGGCAACCACCUGGACUAAUACUGACACUGAGGUGCGAAAGCGUGGGGAGCAAACA